ACUCGAGUUCAUUUAUGAAUCUCGUGAAAAUUCUUUUUCAAUAUUCAUACUUACUUUGGCCAAAUGCUUUCUGAACUCAGUCUCACAAAUCGCAUAGGACUUCUCCUUUUCUACCAAAGUCGACAGAUCCCAUCUAGAUACAUCCUACUCCAAACAGCAAAUCUGAACCUACUGAAGCCAACAUACACAGCAAGGACCCAAAUGGCUAAGGACUGAGGGAACGUACAGUCAAAUCCAGUAGCCUCACUACGAAUAGCCAAUGACAUC
rnacentral:lncRNA from 1 species